rnacentral:rRNA from 1 species
GUAACGAGCGCAACCCUUGUCCUUAGUUACCAGCACGUUAUGGUGGGCACUCUAAGGAGACUGCCGGUGACAACCGGAGGAAGUGGGGAUGACGUCAAGUCAUCAUGGCCCUUACGGCCUGGGCUACACACGUGCUACAAUGGUCGGUACAAAGGGUUGCCAAGCCGCGAGGUGGAGCUAAUCCCAUAAAACCGAUCGUAGUCCGGAUCGCAGUCUGCAACUCGACUGCGUGAAGUCGGAAUCGCUAGUAAUCGUGAAUCAGAAUGUCACGGUGAAUACGUUCCCGGGCCUU